rnacentral:rRNA from 1 species
UACAGAGGUCUCAAGCGUUGUUCGGAUUCAUUGGGCGUAAAGGGUGCGUAGGUGGCGCCGUAAGUCAGGUGUGAAAUCUCGGGGCUCAACCCCGAAACUGCACUUGAUACUGCCUUGCUAGAGUACUGGAGAGGAGAUUGGAAUUUACGGUGUAGCAGUGAAAUGCGUAGAUAUCGUAAGGAAGACCAGUGGCGAAGGCGAAUCUCUGGACAGUUACUGACACUGAGGCACGAAGGCCAGGGGAGCAAACGGG